rnacentral:rRNA from 1 species
GACGUAGGGCGCGAGCGUUGUCCGGAUUUAUUGGGCGUAAAGAGCUCGUAGGCGGCUUGUCGCGUCGACUGUGAAAUCCCGCGGCUCAACCGCGGGUCUGCAGUCGAUACGGGCAGGCUAGAGUUCGGUAGGGGAGACUGGAAUUCCUGGUGUAGCGGUGAAAUGCGCAGAUAUCAGGAGGAACACCGAUGGCGAAGGCAGAUCUCUGGGCCGUAACUGACGCUGAGGAGCGAAAGCAUGGGGAGCGAACAGG